rnacentral:rRNA from 1 species
AGCAGCCGCGGUAAUUCCAGCUCCAAUAGCGUAUAUUAAAGUUGUUGCAGUUAAAAAGCUCGUAGUUGAAUUUCGGGGUCAGUAGAUUGGUCGUGCCACUGGUAUGUACUGGUCUUACUGGCUCCUCCUUCCUGAUGAACCGUAAUGCCAUUAAUUUGGUGUUGCGGGGAGACUGGACUGUUACUUUGAAAAAUUAGAGUGUUUAAAGCAGGCUAACGCUUGAAUACAUUAGCAUGGAAUAAUGAAAUAGGACGUUCGAUCUUAUUUUGUUGGUUUCUAGGAUUGACGUAAUGAUUAAUAGGGAUAGUUGGGGGCAUUAGUAUUCAAUUGUCAGAGGUGAAAUUCUUGGAUUUAUUGAAGACUAACUACUGCGAAAGCAUUUGCCAAGGAUGUUUUCAUUAAUCAAGAACGAAAGUUAGGGGAUCGAAGACGAUCAGAUACCGUCGUAGU